CGGGACGGGUGAGUAAUGUCUGGGAAACUGCCUGGUGGAGGGGGAUAACUGCUGGAAACGGUAGCUAAUACCGCAUAACGUCGCAAGACCAAAGAGGGGGACCUUCGGGCCUCUUGCCAUCGGAUGUGCCCAGAUGGGAUUAGCUAGUAGGUGGGGUAACGGCUCACCUAGGCGACGAUCCCUAGCUGGUCUGAGAGGAUGGCCAGCCACACUGGAACUGAGACACGGUCCAG
rnacentral:rRNA from 1 species